rnacentral:tRNA from 1 species
GCGCGGGUGGUGAAAUGGCAGACACACUUGCCUUAGGAGCAAGCGCCGCAAGGCAUGGAGGUUCAAGUCCUCUCCCGCGCA